GUUUCUGUAGUGUAGCGGUCAUUCCAUGCGCAUCACCGGACAAGUAACUUUUGUAGUAUUUAUCCCGUGCUCUUCACACGCGCAAGUUCCCCGGUUCGAACCUGUGCCGAAACA
rnacentral:tRNA from 1 species